AGUAACGCGUGGAUAACCUGCCUCACACAGGGGGAUAACAGUUAGAAAUGACUGCUAAUACCGCAUAAGCGCACAGUCUCGCAUGGGACAGUGUGAAAAACUGAGGUGGUGUGAGAUGGAUCCGCGUCUGAUUAGGCAGUUGGCGGGGUAACGGCCCACCAAACCGACGAUCAGUAGCCGGCCUGAGAGGGUGAACGGCCACAUUGGGACUGAGACACGGCCUAAACUCCUACGGAAGGCAGCAG
rnacentral:rRNA from 1 species